rnacentral:lncRNA from 1 species
CCUAGAUAAUUGAAGGAUAUGAUAUGAGAAGGUCUUAGAUGCUCUUUAUCUUGUUUCAAGUGACAUCAAAGUUCUAGAGAUUUAUCUUUUGAAAAACCUAAAAAUGAUAGAUGGUGAGUUCCUUUUACGACAAAGCUUGAAUUCAUAACAGAGUCCUAGAUGUUAUUUGGGCUAGGAAAACUUCCACAUAUUUGUUUCUUGCUUGCAUUGAGAUUAGUGAAGCUUUGCUAAUGCCUUAUGAGAGUUUGUCAUACUCUUAAAAUCAAGAUCAUUUACGCACCACAUAUACAUGUUGCUCCUACAAUAGGAGUAUGCAAAAACAUUUCAUUCCAUCUAGAUCUAUCCAAAAAUAUUAUACUACCACUCUAGGAGUGAACACUAAAAACAUAUUUGUUAGGUCUCCAAUCCACCAAAUAAAUGAUCCAAGUUCUUAUUGGUAUCUUUCACAUGGUUUAUUGUACAAAAGGAGAUAUGGGGCUAUGAAAAAGUUAUUCAUGAAAAAAAGCUGAAAAAAUAGACAUGUGUCCAGGCUAUCUAAAACAAUGGGUACUUACAUGCCCGUAUGAAAAAAGAAGAACAAAAAAUAGAAGAGAUGAAUAAGAUAGACCUUUUUCUCUAGCAAUAGUUUCCAAAUUUCUAAAAGAGAUAUAAGUUUUUAAGGAACAAAUUAGAAUUAGGUUAGCUACCAUAUAUAUCCACAACACAUCCACACACAUGCACAUAUUUAUUUGAUUGUACAACUUAACUCUCUUUGGAUCCAUUUUUGGACUUUACAAUAUAUGCUUGGCAAGUAGUCUCUAGCUUUAUCCAUACCAAUAAACACCACAUAAGCCUUAGUGG